CUAAUCAAAAGCUUUCUCGACCUGCCACCCAAAAUCACAAAGAGGACAACAAAGAACGAUGACAAAGUUCAAGUUGGAUGUUCAAAACAGAAAAGCGAAGCAAAACUUCGAAUUCCAGAUUUUAUACGAUCAAACUUCUCAAAGAAUUCUCUUUUCCUCUGAAUUUAGAUUAAAAAAACCAGAAAAGAGCAAAAGUUCUCUUAGAAAUUCUCGUCAACCAAACAGAAAGUGUAUUUCUUAGAAAAAAAAAG
rnacentral:misc_RNA from 1 species